rnacentral:rRNA from 1 species
AACGAACGCUGGCGGCGCGUUUUAAGCAUGCAAGUCGAGCGGCAAGGGUAGCAAUACCCCUAGAGCGGCGGACGGGUGAGUAACACGUGGACAACCUGCCCUUAGGCGAGGGAUAGCCCAGGGAAACCUGGAUUAAUACCUUAUAAGACCACUGAUAGGAGUAUGAGUGGGGAAAGGUGCUACGGCGCCGCCUGAGGAUGGAUCUGCGUCCCAUUAGCUAGAUGGUAGGGUAAAGGCCUACCAUGGCGACGAUGGGUAGCCGGCCUGAGAGGGUGAACGGCCACACUGGAACUGAGAGACGGUCCAGACUCCUACGGGAGGCAGCAGCUAAGAAUCUUCCGCAAUGGGCGCAAGCCUGACGGAGCGACGCCGCGUGAACGAUGAAGGCCGCAAGGUUGUAAAGUUCUUUUCGGGAAGGAGAAUAAGGGGAGCAGGCAAUGGCUUUCCGAUGCCGUGAAUCCCGGAAUAAGCCCCGGCUAACUACGUG